UACGGGGGGUGCAAGCGUUGUUCGGAAUUAUUGGGCGUAAAGCGCGUGUAGGCGGUUUGUUAAGUCUGAUGUGAAAGCCCUGGGCUCAACCCAGGAAGUGCAUUGGAUACUGGCAGACUUGAAUACGGGAGAGGGUAGUGGAAUUCCUGGUGUAGGAGUGAAAUCCGUAGAUAUCAGGAGGAACACCGGUGGCGAAGGCGGCUACCUGGACCGAUAUUGACGCUGAGACGCGAAAGCGUGGGUAGCAAACAGG
rnacentral:rRNA from 1 species